CAAAACAAAGGGUAGGCGGCCCGCGAGGCGGCGGCAGGAGGAUGCCUCGCGCCGGGACAGGGCGCCAACGGCCGGAGCGCGUCCCCGGUCCUACUAGGACCGCUUGAAAACUGAGCCCGCGCUGACCGAGCCUGGGCCGGAUGGGCGCAGCGGACCCUGCCGCGGACCGCCGAGCGGCCGUUGCACUGGCUUUCUCUUGUCCCAGUGUGUGGACCGCACCACACGCCCUCCUGACCAGCAACGGCUCUUGCGCAUGCUUUUCGGUGUUUUUAUCGGAGAGUCCGGCAGAGCCCUAGCUCCUCCAGAGCUGGCCCAGAACCGAGUGACAAGUGCCCAGCAGACAUGGUAAAAAUGACCAAGUCCAAAACUUUCCAAGCUUAUCUGCCACACUGUCACAGAACUUACAGCUGCAUCCACUGCAGAGCCCAUCUGGCCAAUCACGAUGAGCUCAUCUCCAAGACGUGCUGUCACUAGUGUGCCUGGCUCUGUCUCUCUGCCUGCUCAGUUAUUAAGGGCCAAAAUGUUUAUCUGAGCCGUACCAGUCAGCACCAUGAUCAACUGGGCAGAAUCUACCCUCCUGCAAUCUGUGUUUCUGAUGCAGUCGUUGUGUCUGAGAGUUUAGCCUCCAACCCUGACACUUUAGGAUUCCCUUGGUGGGCUGGCUCUGUAGUAGAGUGCAUGUUGAGGCCCUAGAUUUGAUCCCAACCACCAUAAAGAAAAAGGAAAAAA
rnacentral:lncRNA from 1 species